rnacentral:lncRNA from 1 species
AUUCAAGUUGUUUUGGCUUUUACUACAAAAAGCAUCUUUACAUAUAUCUGCAAUUUAAUGGAUAAUUUAUUUUCCCUUUCCAUACAUCUGAAAGAAGAAACAUAAUUGGUAUGAACAGCACUUAAUUCCAGACUGACUUCUUUUGAACUGUAGAGACUGGAUUUCACCAUGUUGCCCAGGCUGGUCUCAAACUUCUGGCUUCAAACUAUCUGCCUGCCUCAGCCUCCCAAAGUGCUGGGAUUACAGGCGUGAGCACCGUGCCCUGCCUCUCUUCAAGGACUCUCUUUGCUACAUCGGCAUCACCUGGGAACGUGGUAGGGCUACAGAAUCUUGGGCCCCACCUUGGACCUACCUAAUCGUCAUCUUAUUCAUUGGUGUUCCCUUCGCCAGAGACCAGGUCGAUUGUCUUGGAGAAUGUCCCACAUUCAGCAUUUGUCUGCAUGCUUCCUUAUGGUGCCAUGCUCUUGUCCCUCUAUUCCAAGUGAGUGGAAGUUAGCUGGAGAAGUUUGACUAAAUUCAGGAUCAAGUUUUUGUGACAAGAAUAUUUCCUAGCUGGUGCUAUGUGCAUUUGCAUGGCAUCAGGAGGCAGAUGAUAUCUAGUUGGAAACAAGACUUUGGAUUUUACAAGCUAUGCUUUUGUAAGGAAAGGAACACAUUUAAAGGUAAGAAGGUGAUAAGUGUUAUGGGGUAAAAUGCUGCAGGGUAGGGGGCUGGGAGUGCUGGGCAGAAGAUGUUACAAUUUUGAAUAGGGAAGUUGAGGCAGAUCUCACUGAGAAGGUGUAAUAGGCCACUCUUGUACUGCUAUGAAGAAACACCUGAGACUGGGUAAUUUAUAAAGAAAAGAGGUUUAAUUGGCUCACUGUUCCGCAGGCUGUGCAAGAAGCAUAGCGAUUUCUGUUUCUGGGGAGGCCUCAGGAAACUUACAAUCAUGGUGGGAAGAGAAGGGG